UCGGGAUAGCUCAGCUGUA
rnacentral:tRNA from 1 species